ACAGCAGUAGCCGCGGGAAAACGGAGGGUGCAAGCGUUAAUCGGAAUUACUGGGCGUAAAGCGCACGCAGGCGGUCUGACAAGUCAGAUGUGAAAUCCCCGGGCUUAACCUGGGAACUGCAUUUGAAACUGUCAGGCUGGAGUCUUGUAGAGGGGGGUAGAAUUCCAGGUGUAGCGGUGAAAUGCGUAGAGAUCUGGAGGAAUACCGGUGGCGAAGGCGGCCCCCUGGACAAAGACUGACGCUCAGGUGCGAAAGCGUGGGGAGCAAACAGGAUUAGAUACCCCGGUAGUCCCUGUCUCUUAUCA
rnacentral:rRNA from 1 species